GUUGACCUCGGAUCGGGUAGGGA
rnacentral:rRNA from 1 species